UGGCGGCGUGCUUAACACAUGCAAGUCGAGCGGUAAGGCCUUUCGGGGUACACGAGCGGCGAACGGGUGAGUAACACGUGGGUGAUCUGCCCUGCACUCUGGGAUAAGCCUGGGAAACUGGGUCUAAUACCGGAUAUGACCUGCUCUCGCAUGGGGGUGGGUGGAAAGAUUUAUCGGUGCAGGAUGGGCCCGCGGCCUAUCAGCUUGUUGGUGGGGUAAUGGCCUACCAAGGCGACGACGGGUAGCCGACCUGAGAGGGUGACCGGCCACACUGGGACUGAGACACGGCCCAGACUCCUACGGGAGGCAGCAGUGGGGAAUAUUGCACAAUGGGCGAAAGCCUGAUGCAGCGACGCCGCGUGAGGGAUGAAGGCCUUCGGGUUGUAAACCUCUUUCAGCAGGGACGAAGCGCAAGUGACGGUACCUGCAGAAGAAGCACCGGCUAACUACGUGCCAGCAGCCGCGGUAAUACGUAGGGUGCGAGCGUUGUCCGGAAUUACUGGGCGUAAAGAGUUCGUAGGCGGUUUGUCGCGUCGUUUGUGAAAACCCGGGGCUCAACUUCGGGCUUGCAGGCGAUACGGGCAGACUUGAGUGUUUCAGGGGAGACUGGAAUUCCUGGUGUAGCGGUGAAAUGCGCAGAUAUCAGGAGGAACACCGGUGGCGAAGGCGGGUCUCUGGGAAACAACUGACGCUGAGGAACGAAAGCGUGGGUAGCAAACAGGAUUAGAUACCCUGGUAGUCCACGCCGUAAACGGUGGGCGCUAGGUGUGGGUUCCUUCCACGGAAUCUGUGCCGUAGCUAACGCAUUAAGCGCCCCG
rnacentral:rRNA from 1 species